rnacentral:rRNA from 1 species
AGGAUGAACGCUGGCGGCGUGCCUAACACAUGCAAGUCGAACGUCCUGUCUCGCAAGAGGCAGGGAGUGGCGGACGGGUGAGUACCACGUGGGUCAUCUACCGUGAGGUGAGGAAUACCGGCGAGAAAUCGCCGACAAGACCGCAUAGCCUCGGUGCAAGUCGAGGAAAGCUCUCUCGAGAGAGGGAGCGCCACACGAGGAGCCUGCGCCCGAUUAGCUAGCUGGUGGAGUAAUGGUUCACCAGGGCGACGAUCGGUAGCUGGUCUGAGAGGACGAUCAGCCACACUGGAUUGAGACACGGCCCAGACUCCUACGGGAGGCAGCAGUUAGGGAAUUUUGACAAUGGGCGCAAGCCUGAUCGAGUGACGCCGCGUGCGGGAGGACGCCGUUUCGGGGUGUAAACCGCUUUCCCGUGGGACGAGCGAAGGACGGUACCAGGGGAAUAAGCCUCGGCUAACUACGUGCCAGCAGCCGC